AUUGAACGCUGGCGGAAUGCUUUACACAUGCAAGUCGAGCGGCAGCGCGGCCUUCGGGCUGGCGGCGAGCGGCGAACGGGUGAGUAAUGCAUCGGAACAUGCCCAGUCGUGGGGGAUAACACUUCGAAAGAAGUGCUAAUACCGCAUACGUCCUGAGGGGGAAAGCGGGGGAUCGCAAGACCUCUCGCGAUUGGAGUGGCCGAUGUCAGAUUAGCUAGUUGGUGGGGUAAAGGCCUAACAAGGCGACGAUCUGUAGCUGGUCUGAGAGGAUGAUCAGCCACACUGGGAGUGAGACACGGCCCCGACUCCUACGGGAGGCCGCGGUCGAGACUUUUGGACGAUGGGGGAAACCCUGAUACAGCCAUACCGCGUGAGUGAAGAAGGCCUUCGGGUUGUAGAGCUAUUUCGGCAGGAACGAAACGGUGGGCUCUAACAUAGGACGAUAAUGACGGUACCUGAAGAAGAAGCACCGGCUAACUACGUG
rnacentral:rRNA from 1 species